GACGAACGCUGGCGGCGUGCUUAACACAUGCAAGUCGAACGGAAAGGCCCUGCUUUUGUGGGGUGCUCGAGUGGCGAACGGGUGAGUAACACGUGAGUAACCUGCCCUUGACUUUGGGAUAACUUCAGGAAACUGGGGCUAAUACCGGAUAGGAGCUCCUGCUGCAUGGUGGGGGUUGGAAAGUUUCGGCGGUUGGGGAUGGACUCGCGGCUUAUCAGCUGGUUGGUGGGGUAGUGGCUUACCAAGGCUUUGCCGGGUAGCCGGCCUGAGAGGGUGACCGGCCACAUGGGACUUGAGAUACGGCCCAGACUCCUACGGGAGGAAGAAGGGGGGAAUAUUGCACAAUGGGCGGAAGCCUGAUGCAGCAACGCCGGGUGCGGGAUGCCGGCCUUCGGGUGGUAAACCGCUUUCGCCUGUGACGAAGCGUGAGUGACGGAAAUGGGGAAAGAAGCACCGGCUAACUACGU
rnacentral:rRNA from 1 species